UUUCCGUAGGUGAACCUGCGGAAGGAUCAUUAUUGUAUAACCGAGGUGCGAGGGCUGUCGCUGACCCGAAAGGUCGUGCACGCCCGAGUGCCCACACACACAUCCAUCUCACCCCUAUGUGCACCACCGCGUGGGUCCCCCUUUGGCUUGUUUGGAGGGGGGCUUACAUUUUCACACGAACCCCCCUUUUAAAAGUGUAGAAUGACCACAUUUAUGCAAUCAAUACAACUUUCAACAACGGAUCUCUUGGCUCUC
rnacentral:misc_RNA from 1 species